UACGUAGGGGGCGAGCGUUGUCCGAAGUUACUGGGCGUAAAGCGCGCGUAGGCGGUUAUUUAAGUCUGGGGGUGAAAGGUUCAGCGCUCAACGUGAACAGUGCCUUGGAUACUGGAUGACUUGAGUCUGGGAGGGGGAAGGGGAAUUCCUGGUGUAGCGGUGAAAUGCGUAGAUAUCAGGAGGAACACCGGUGGCGAAGGCGCCUUCCUGGCCUAAGACUGACGCUGAGGUGCGAAAGCGUGGGGAGCAAACGGG
rnacentral:rRNA from 1 species